rnacentral:rRNA from 1 species
GCCGGACGAAGCCACGAGGCGAAGCCAGCGAGCCCAUGCUGCCGAGAAAAACCCCUAGGGAGCCCGACGGGGCCCGUACCGCAAACCGACACAGGUGGGAGGGUAGAGAAUACCAAGGCGAUCGGGAGAACUAUGGUCAAGGAACUCGGCAAAAUCGCCCCGUAACCUCGGGAGAAGGGGCGCCGGCCUGGGUGGGGGGACACGCUCCCCGAGCCUGGUCCGGCCGCAGCGAAAAGGUCCAAGCGACUGUUUACCAAAAACACAGGACUCUGCUGAAGUCGUAAGACGACGUAUAGGGUCUGACGCCUGCCCGGUGCCGGAAGGUCACGAGGAGCCGUCAGCGCAAGCGAAGCGGCGAAUCCAAGCCCCGGUAAACGGCGGCCGUAACAAUAACGGUCCUAAGGUAGCGAAAUUCCUUGUCGGGUAAGUUCCGACCUGCACGAAAGGCGUAACGAUUUGGACGCUGUCUCGACCAUAGGCCCGGUGAAAUUGCACUAGUCGUGAAGAUGCGACUUACCCGCGGAAGGACGGAAAGACCCCGUGAACCUUUACUGCAGCUUGGCAUUGGCUGCCGGGGCGCCGUGUAGAGGAUAGGUGGGAGACCGAGAACCCGGGACGCCAGUCCCGGGGGAGUCGCCCUUGGAAUACCACCCUCGGCGCCUUGGCAUCCUAACCUGCGGCCGUUAUCCGGCGCAGGGACCGUGCCAGGUGGGUAGUUUGACUGGGGCGGUCGCCUCCUAAAAGGUAACGGAGGCGCACGUAAGGUCUGCUCGGGACGGUCGGCAACCGUCCUUCAGAGUGCAAGAGCGCAAGCAGGCUUGACUGCGAGACGGACAGGUCGAGCAGGUGGGAAACCAGGUUCUAGUGAUCCGGCGGCUCAGAGUGGUAUGGCCGUCGCUCAACGGAUAAAAGGUACUCCGGGGAUAACAGGCUGAUCUUCCCCAAGAGUCCACAUCGACGGGAAGGUUUGGCACCUCGAUGUCGGCUCAUCGCAUCCUGGGGCUGGAGCAGGUCCCAAGGGUAUGGCUGUUCGCCAUUCAAAGCGGUACGCGAGCUGGGUUCAGAACGUCGUGAGACAGUUCGGUCCCUAUCCUCCGUGGGCGCAGGAGAACUGAUGGAGGCUGCCCCUAGUACGAGAGGACCGGGGUGGACGGACCUCCGGUGCACGGGUUGUCGACCAACGGCACCGCCCGGUAGCUGAGUCCGGUUCGGAUAACCGCUGAAAGCAUCUAAGCGGGAAGCCGGUCCAGAGAUGAGUUCUCCCUUCGGUAAGGCCCCUCGUAGACCACGAGGUUGAUAGGCCGCAGGUGGAAGCCCCGCGAGGGGUGGAGCCGAGCGGUACUAAUCGGCCGAGCUCUU